GUGAGUCAUCGAAUCUUUGAACGCAUAUUGCGCCCUUUGGUAUUCCGAAGGGCAUGCCUGUUCGAGCGUCAUUACACCCCUCAAACCUUGGCUGUUUGAUGUUGGGCAGUGCCGAGAUGGCAUGCCUAAAAUAUAGCGAUGGUCCUCCGAACCUCAAGCGCAUAGAUGCCGCUAUGUAGGAGAGGAAGGGGCAGUCUUUUAAGCUAAAAUUUCUGAACGUUGACCUCGGAUCAGGUAGGGAUACCCGCUGAACUUAAGCAUAUCAAUAAGCGGAGGA
rnacentral:misc_RNA from 1 species